UACAGAGGUCUCGAGCGUUAGGCGGAAUCACUGGGCUUAAAGCGUGUGUAGGCGGAUUGCUAAGUACCUUGUGAAAUCCCACGGCUUAACCGUGGAAGAGCCUUUGAUACAGCACGUCUUGAGUCCGAUAGAGGUGGGUGGAAUUCCUAGUGUAGAGGUGAAAUUCGUAGAUAUUAGGAAGAACACCGGUGGCGAAGGCGGCCCACUGGAUCGGUACUGACGCUGAGGUGCGAAAGCGUGGGGAGCAAACAGG
rnacentral:rRNA from 1 species